rnacentral:lncRNA from 1 species
UCUUGUUUGGCUACUCUGGAAAGGCUGAUAAGUCCCUUGUAAAGAUAAUAUCUGGAAGUGCCCAAGGCCCAGGACACCUCAGCAGACCUACUCAGCCUUGUCUGUCACUGGGUGGUUAAGCCCCUGUCUCCACAUACCAGGCUCUAUUACCUGGGCUAGACAGAUGUCCUGGAAAUAAGGGCAAGGUCUCUUCAUCAUCUUCUCUCUUCAAGACCAGCGCAAAGAAAGCAGCAAAGCCCAGCACCUGGAAAUCACCUCGUGUGAGCCGAAGGCUACAGGGACCUCUCAAGGCCCAAGACCGAGGGAUCAGCCAUUCUCACAGAGGGAGGGAGCGCUGGGCCUGGACCAGGACCUUGUGCACGCUAGGACACAGCCAUGGAGAUGAGCCACUUGAGGGAGCUGACUCUUCCAUAGUGCAGGCCGUACAGCAUCGUGA